rnacentral:rRNA from 1 species
UACGUAGGGUGCAAGCGUUGUCCGGAAUUACUGGGCGUAAAGAGCUCGUAGGUGGUUUGUCGCGUUGUUCGUGAAAACCUGAGGCUUAACCUUGGGCGUGCGGGCGAUACGGGCAGACUGGAGUACUGCAGGGGAGACUGGAAUUCCUGGUGUAGCGGUGGAAUGCGCAGAUAUCAGGAGGAACACCGGUGGCGAAGGCGGGUCUCUGGGCAGUUCCUGACGCUGAGGCACGAAGGUCAGGGGAGCAAACGGG